rnacentral:rRNA from 1 species
CCUACGGGGGGCAGCAGUGAGGAAUAUUGGUCAAUGGCCGGAAGGCUGAACCAGCCAAGCCGCGUGAGGGAGGAAGGCGCAGAGCGUCGCAGACCUCUUUUGCCGGGGGACAAAAGGCCGGACUCGUCCGGUCCUGAGGGUACCCGGAGAAAAAGCAUCGGCUAACUCCGUGCCAGCAGCCGCGGUAAUACGGAGGAUGCGAGCGUUAUCCGGAUUCAUUGGGUUUAAAGGGAGCGUAGGUGGAUUGUUAAGUCAGUUGUGAAAGUUUGCGGCUCAACCGUAAAAUUGCAGUUGAAACUGGCAGUCUUUAGUACAGUAGAGGUGGGCGGAAUUCGUGGUGUAGCGGUGAAAUGCUUAGAUAUCACGAAGAACUCCGAUUGCGAAGGCAGUUCACUGGACUGCAACUGACACUGAGGCUCGAAAGUGUGGGUAUCAAACAGGAUUAGAUACCCCUGUAGUC